GGAAUCUUCGGCAAUGGGCGCAAGCCUGACCGAGCCAUGCCGCGUGAGCGAUGAAGGCCUUAGGGUUGUAAAGCUCUUUCACCGGUGAAGAUAAUGACGGUAACCGGAGAAGAAGCCCCGGCUAACUUCGUGCCAGCAGCCGCGGUAAUACGAAGGGGGCUAGCGUUGUUCGGAAUUACUGGGCGUAAAGCGCACGUAGGCGGAUCGGUAAGUGAGGGGUGAAAUCCCAAGGCUCAACCCUGGAACUGCCUUUCAUACUGGCGAUCUUGAGUUCGAGAGAGGUGAGUGGAAUUCCGAGUGUAGAGGUGAAAUUCGUAGAUAUUCGGAGGAACACCAGUGGCGAAGGCGGCUCACUGGCUCGAUACUGACGCUGAGGUGCGAAAGCGUGGGGAGCA
rnacentral:rRNA from 1 species